CGGCCACACCGGGCGCAACAUCUGGGGGUUAGGGUUAGGGGGCGCAAAUCCACAGGUUAGGGGGCGCAAAUUACUUGCCUUGCCCCGGGUGCUGACAACCCACGCUACGCCACUGGGGAGGAGGAACCCAGAACAAUGGUGCACAAGCCCUUAUAUAGACUUUUGAAAUUGCCACCCUGUAGCCCAAGACCACCCCCCCACACACACAAUACAUCAUACAUACAUCACAGAAGGGGCAGUCUACAACAGAAUCCUGUCUGGCAGGAAACCUGUUAAUGGGUUUACCUGGCUGUUAAUGGGUUUACAUGGAGAGCCUGGCCAUUCUUUUGUGAUGAUAAAUACUUAAUUCCUGAGUCCAGGUCACAGGCUCACCCUAUUCAUACCCAAAUGUGCCCUUAAGGCAGCAUUUGUGAGCACAGAGACAAUGGGGAGGCUUUUCCCAUUUCCAUCCAAACUGCAGAGGAAUAUCUGAGGUCAAUGAAAGAGUCAAAAUGGCUUUAGGACUGUUUUCCUGUACUGUUUCAGACAUGUG